rnacentral:rRNA from 1 species
UACAGAGGUCUCAAGCGUUGUUCGGAUUCAUUGGGCGUAAAGGGUGCGUAGGCGGCGCGGUAAGUCGGGUGUGAAAUCUCGGAGCUUAACUCCGAAACUGCAUUCGAUACUGCCGUGCUUGAGGACUGGAGAGGAGACUGGAAUUUACGGUGUAGCGGUGAAAUGCGUAGAUAUCGGGAGGAACACCAGUGGCGAAGGCGGCCACCUGGACGGAUACUGACGCUGAGACGCGAAAGCGUGGGUAGCAAACAGG